rnacentral:tRNA from 1 species
GCCGUUUCGGCGUCUCUAAGAGCGGGACUGAAAAUCCGCGUGUCGGCGGUUCAACUCCGUCCCCGGGCA